UAAGGUUCAUGGGCUACGAGCCUGAGU
rnacentral:piRNA from 1 species